rnacentral:rRNA from 1 species
UAGUCCACGCCGUAAACGUUGGGCGCUAGGUGUGGGGGCCAUUCCACGGUCUCCGUGCCGCAGCUAACGCAUUAAGCGCCCCGCCUGGGGAGUACGGCCGCAAGGCUAAAACUCAAAGGAAUUGACGGGGGCCCGCACAAGCGGCGGAGCAUGUUGCUUAAUUCGAUGCAACGCGAAGAACCUUACCUAGGCUUGACAUGCACGGAAAUCUCGCAGAGAUGCGGGGUCCGUAAGGGCCGUGCAC